rnacentral:misc_RNA from 1 species
UUUCCGUAGGUGAACCUGCGGAAGGAUCAUUACAGAGUUCAUGCCCUCACGGGUAGAUCUCCCACCCUUGAAUAUUUAUACCUUAGUUGCUUUGGCAGGCCGUGGAAACACCAUGGGCUCCGGCUUAUGCGUGCCUGCCAGAGGAAACAAACUCUGUUUUUAGUGAUGUCUGAGUACUACAUAAUAGUUAAAACUUUCAACAACGGAUCUCUUGGUUCCG